UUAUGUCAAUAUAUAUUUUCAUUUAUUUUAGGUAAAUAUGCAGGAGUAUGACUGCUGGAACAUAUGGAAGUAUAUAAAUUUACAUACAUGGUGAAACUGUCACAUUGUUCCCUUGAAUGGCUAUGCCCUUUUGCAUUCCCACAAGCAACGUAUGAACAUUCAAUGCUCCCUUCAUCAGCACUUGGUAUUUUCAGCAUUAUUCAUAUUAGCCAUUUUAAUAGGUGUAUAGAGUUAUCAUCAUUUUAUAAACAUUCCACUAGUGGCUGCAGACGUGGUUGUUUUCUUCUGUAAUAUCUUUGAAUAUAUAUCUUCCAUUGCAGAUUAGAAGUGCCUUAUGCACUUCUGAGAUACCACAUACUGUUAUGCUAGUAUAUCUUGGUCUUCCAUAUAUAUAUUUUUUACUGUUUGCUUUAAUUUUUUUUCACAUUUGUUUAGUUACUGUGAUUAUUACAAGCCAUUCUUUAAUAUAAGUAAUUUUAUUUUCAAGGGUUUUUAUUCAGCAUAUGUCUAUUUAUGUUUGUUUGUUUAUUUGACAGAUAUAAAUUGUAUAUGUUUAUGGUGUGUAACAUGAUGUUUCAAAACACAUAUACAUUGUGGAAUGGCUAAAUCAAUCUAAUUAACAUACAUAUUACCUCACAUACUUAUAAUUUUUUGUGGUGUUAAAAUAUACUCUCAUCAAUUUUCAAGAAUACAAUACAUUGUUAUUAACUGUAGUCAUUAUGUUAUAUAAUAGGUCUCUUGAAAUUAUUCCUAUCUAACUAAAAUUUUUUAUCCUUGGACCAACAUCUCAACUCCACCCAACCCUCAGCCGCUAGUACCUACCAUUCUACUCUAUUUUUACAAGUUUAACUUUGUUAGAUUUCACAUGUAUGUGACAUUAUGCAGCAUUUGUGUUUCUGUGCUUGGCUUAUUUCACUUAGCAUAAUGUCCUUCAGGGUCAUUCAUGUCACAAAUGAUGGUAUUUCCUUCUUUUUUUUAAGGCUGAAUAGUAUCCCAUGGUGAACAUGUGCCAUCUUUUCUUUAACCAUUCAUCUGUUGAUACUUAGGUUAAUUCCAUAUCUUGGCUAUUGCAAAUAAUCCAUGGGUCUUUGGUGAGACUCGGAAACAUGCUGGCUUCAGGUAUGACCCAGAACAUUCUCAGCUGUGGUGGCUACAGGGAGGGACUCCUUCUCCUUUCAGGGCUCUCUUGGCCUCUGAGCUCCCAGGAUCCAUUGUGUUUCUGUUGCCUGGGGCCCGAACUGUGGAGUUCAACUUGCUAGAAACUUUGUCUUACUUCUCAUUCUCUAGCAAAAUUACUUGCCCAGAAAGCAGUGCCCUCAGUCCUUACUUUUUAUGACGAACUAUUCUAUUCCAUGCUUUGCCUGACUUAAAUGUUCCAUCUCUCACAGGUGACACGUAUAUAUUUCAAAUGAAACUUCCAUUUA
rnacentral:lncRNA from 10 species